GCUGAGCGUGGUGGCGGGUGCCUGUAAUCCCAGCUACUAGGGAGGCUGAGGCAGGAGAAUUGCUUGAACCUGGGAGGCGGAGGUUGCAGUGAGCUGAGAUCGUGCCACUGCACUCCAGCCUGGGUGACAAAAGCAAAAGUCUGUCUCAAAAACAAACAAUAAACAAACAACUCUUCCUUUGAAAGUUUUGUUUUGUUGUUUUUGUUUUUUUUUUGAGACGGAAUCUUGCUCUGUCACCCAGGCUGGAGUGCAGUGGCGUGAUCUCAGCUCACUACAACCUCCGCCUCCCGGGUUCAGGCAGUUCUCUGCCUCAG
rnacentral:SRP_RNA from 2 species